AUUGAACGCUGGCGGCAGGCCUAACACAUGCAAGUCGAACGGUAACAGGAAGCAGCUUGCUGCUUUGCUGACGAGUGGCGGACGGGUGAGUAAUGUCUGGGAAACUGCCUGAUGGAGGGGGAUAACUACUGGAAACGGUAGCUAAUACCGCAUAACGUCGCAAGACCAAAGAGGGGGACCUUCGGGCCACUUGCGUUCGGAUGUGCCCAGAUGGGAUUGGCUAGUGGGUGGGGUAACGGCUCAACUAGGCGACGAUCAGUAGCUGGUCUGAGAGGAUGACCAGCCACAGUGGGACUGAGACACGGCCAAAACUCCUACGGGAGGCAGCAGUGGGGAAUCUGGCGCAAUGGGCGAAAGCAUGAAGUAGCCAGGCCGCGUGAAUGAUGAAGGUCUUAGGAGGGUAAAAUUCUUUCACCGGGGACGAUAAUGACGGUACCCGGAGAAGAAGCACCGGCUAACGUCGUG
rnacentral:rRNA from 1 species